rnacentral:rRNA from 1 species
ACUCAAAGGAAUUGACGGGGACCCGCACAAGCGGUGGAGCAUGUGGUUUAAUUCGAUGCAACGCGAAAAACCUUACCACUCCUUGACAUGGAAAUUAUACCUAUUCGAAGGGAUAGGGUCGGUUCGGCCGGGUUUCACACAGGUGUUGCAUGGCUGUCGUCAGCUCGUGUCGUGAGAUGUUGGGUUAAGUCCCGCAACGAGCGCAACCCUCAUCCUUAGUUACCAUCAGGUAAUGCUGGGGACUUUAAGGAGACUGCCAGUGAUAAACUGGAGGAAGGUGGGGAUGAUGUCAAGUCAUCAUGGCCCUUAUGGAGUGGGCUACACACGUGCUACAAUGGUGGCUACAAUGGGCUGCAAAGUCGCGAGGCUAAGCCAAUCCCUUAAAAGCCAUCUCAGUUCGGAUUGUACUCUGCAACUCGAGUGCAUGAAGUUGGAGUCGCUAGUAAUCGUGGAUCAGCACGCCACGGUGAAUACGUUCUCGGGUCUUGUACACACUGCCCGUCACGCCAUGGGAAUUGGUUUCACUCGAAGCUAACGACCUAACCGCAAGGAGGGAGUUAUUUAAAGUGGGAUCGGUGACUGGGGUG